GGGGGCAACCCGGAUCCAACCAAGCCCCCGUGAAUAAAAGAAAGGCCCUCCGGGGUUGGAAAAGCCACCUUUUCCAAGACCGGAAAAGAAAACACUUUCCCCUUAACUACCGGGGAAGGUGGGAUUGACGGGUACUGUCAGAAGGAAGCACCGGCUAACUACGUGCCAGCAGCCGCGGAAAUACGUAGGGAGCGAAGCAUCAAUCGGAAUCACCGGGCGUAAAGCGUGCGCAGGCGGUUGUCUAAAACAGGAGUGAAACCCCCGGGCUUAACCUGGGAACGGCGCUUGUCACUGCACGGCAGAGUACGGCAGACGGGGGUGGAAUCCCACGUGUAGCAGUGAAAUGCGUAGAUAUCUCGAGGAACACCGAUGGCGAAGGCAGCCCCCUGGGCCAGUACUGACGCUCAUGCACGAAACCCGGGGAGCAAACAGGAUUAGACACCCUGGCAGUCCACGCCCUAAACCAUGUCGACUAGUUGUCCGUGGAGGUAACUCUGUCAGUAACGCAGCUAACGCGUGAAGUCGACCGCCUGGCGAGUACGGCCGCAAGGAUAAAACUCAAAGGAAUUGACGGGGACCCGCACAAGCCGUGGA
rnacentral:rRNA from 1 species